rnacentral:rRNA from 1 species
AGUUUGGAUCAUGGCUCAGAGUGAACGCUGGCGGCAGGCCUAAUACAUGCAAGUCGAACGGCAGCACAGCAGAGCUUGCUCUGUGGGUGGCGAGUGGCGGACGGGUGAGGAAUACAUGGGAAUCUGCCCAGUCGUGGGGGAUAACGUAGGGAAACUUACGCUAAUACCGCAUGCGCCCUUCGGGGGAAAGCCGGGGACCUUCGGGCCUGGCGCGAUUGGAUGAGCCCAUGUCGGAUUAGCUAGUUGGCGGGGUAAUGGCCCACCAAGGCGACGAUCCGUAGCUGGUCUGAGAGGAUGAUCAGCCACACUGGAACUGAGACGCGGUCCAGACUCCUACGGGAGGCAGCAGUAGGGAAUAUUGGACAAUGGGCGCAAGCCUGAUCCAGCCAUGCCGCGUGAGUGAAGAAGGCCCUCGGGUUGUAAAGCUCUUUUGUCCGGAAAGAAAAGCGCCGGGUUAAUACCCUGGUGUCCUGACGGUACCGGAAGAAUAAGCACCGGCUAACUUCGUG